rnacentral:rRNA from 1 species
CCUACGGGUGGCAGCAGUGAGGAAUAUUGGUCAAUGGCCGGAAGGCUGAACCAGCCAUGCCGCGUGAAGGUCAGUGCCCUAUGGGCGUUAAACUUCUUUUGUGCGGGAGCAAUAAUGGUCACGUGUGGCCAGACGAGAGUACCGUCAGAAUAAGCAUCGGCUAACUCCGUGCCAGCAGCCGCGGUUAUACGGGGGAUGCAAGCGUUCUCCGGAUUUAUUGGGGUUAAAGGGUGCGGAGGCUGUGAGGUAAGUCAGCGGUGAAAUGCCCCCGCUCAACGGGGUGAAGUGCCAUUGAUACUGCCGUGCUGGAAUGCAGAUGCGGUGGGAGGAAUUUGUGGUGUAGCGGUGAAAUGCAUAGAUAUCACACAGAACACCGAUUGCGAAGGCAUCUCACGAAUCCGCGAUUGACGCUGAUGCACGAAAGCGUGGGUAUCAAACAGGAUUAGAUACCCCAGUAGUC